AGAGUUUGAUCCUGGCUCAGGACGAACGCUGGCGGCGUGGAUUAGGCAUGCAAGUCGAACGGUAGGAACCUUUCGGGGUUCUGAGAGUGGCGAACGGGUGAGUAACACGUAGGUUAUCUACCCUCAAAUCGGGGACAACCCAGGGAAACUUGGGCUAAUACCGGAUGAGUGCAUCAGAGAUGGUGCAUAAAAGGUGGCGUAAGCUGCCGUUUGGGGAUGAGCCUGCGCCCUAUUAGUUAGUUGGUGAGGUAACGGCUCACCAAGGCGAUGAUAGGUAGGCGGCCUUAACGGGUGGUCGCCCACACUGGGAUUGAGAUACGGCCCAGACUCCUACGGGAGGCAGCAGUCGAGAAUAGUCUACAAUGGACGAAAGUCUGAUAGUGCGACGCCGCGUGAACGAAGAAUCCCUUCGGGGUGUAAAGUUCUUUUAUAUGUGAGCAAUGCUUCCUAGGUGAAUAGUUUAGGGAGAGAGAUAUUAGCAUAUGAAUAAGCAACGGCUAACUCCGUGCCAGCAGCCGCGGUAACACGGGGGUUGCUAGCGUUGUCCGGAAUUACUAGGCGUAAAGGGCAGGUAGGCGGAUAGAUAAGUUUGAUGUUAAAGGCGACGGCUUACCCGUCGUAAGGCAUUAGAUACUGUUUAUCUGGAAUGCGGUUGGGGAAGACAGAAUUCCUGGUGUAGCGGUGGAAUGCGCAGAGAUCAGGAGGAAUACCAAAGGCGAAGGCAGUCUUCUAAGCCGUUAUUGACGCUAAACUGCGAAGGUGUGGGUAUCAAACAGGAUUAGAUACCCUGGUAGUCCACACAGUAAACGAUAAUCACUAGGUGUCGGGUUCGAAGAGGAUUCGGUGCCGUAGCUAACGCGAUAAGUGAUUCGCCUGGGGAGUACGAUCGCAAGGUUGAAACUCAAAGGAAUUGACGGGGGCCCGCAC
rnacentral:rRNA from 1 species